rnacentral:sRNA from 1 species
GCCGGGCGUGGUGGCGCACUCCUGUAAUCCCAGCGGCUCAGGAGGCUGAGACAGGAGGAUUGCAAGUUCAAAGCCAGCCUCAGCAAAGGCGCACUACUAAGCAACUCACUCAGUAAGACCCUGUCUCUA